rnacentral:rRNA from 1 species
CCUCAUGGCCCUUAUGGUAGGGCUUCACACGUCAUACAAUGGUCGGUACAGAGGGUUGCCAAGCCGCGAGGUGGAGCCAAUCCCUUAAAGCCGAUCGUAGUCCGGAUCGUAGUCUGCAACUCGACUACGUGAAGUCGGAAUCGCUAGUAAUCGCAGAUCAGCAUGCUGCGGUGAAUACGUUCCCGGGUCCUU